GCAGCCAACACACAGGUGGCAUUGAGAGCUGCGUGCGCAAUACCCGGAGUUGGGUGUAUCUCCAUCUCCCGGAGGAGGUGGGAAAAAGUAGCGUCGCAGCACAAACACUCGCCAAAGCGACGCCGCGGCGAAUCCAAUCCAAUCCUCCUCCCUCUUCUCCAUCCGUCUUCUACUACGCAUAUAUAAAUAAAUAAAUUCGACUCCGAAGCAUAUUCGCUACGGAUAUUUCUCUUUCUCUAUUUCUCUCCUCGCUCCUUCCACUUCCUAUUUUUCUCGAUCGCGAUCUCCAUCUCUAUCUCGAUCUCGAUCUUGAUCUCGAUCUCGAUCUUUUCCCAGAAGCUUCUUUUUGGUUCUGAUCGCUAGGGUUAGGGUUUUGGCCGAUUUGGGCGGUGCAACGAGGAGGCUUUGAUCGAGGGGCUUCUGGAGAGCGGUUGAGUUGGAUUGGGUUUCGAGCGUUUCGCGAUUUAUGGGCUAGAUCUCAAAUUUCGUUUUGUGGUGGGAUUUCGUGCAUAUAUUGGAGGAAUCAGAUAAAGUUUACUUGUUGAGCUGCUGAAGAACACCAUCAUGGAAUGCAACGUCUGUCACUCUAAAUUGCUCAAAACAGUUUCAAAGGCAUACGUGAAUCAUCGAGGCAAUGUAUCAUCUAGGCAGCGCGCUCUUAAUUUUCUCCUAGUCGGCGGUGACUGCAUUUUGGUUGGCCUACAGCCCAUUUUGGUGUAUAUGUCCAAGGUGGAUGGGAAAUUUAAAUUUAGUCCAAUCAGCGUGAACUUCUUGACAGAGGUUGCAAAGGUUCUCUUUGCCAUUGUCAUGCUGUUAUUCCAGGCUAGGAGACAAAAGGUCGGAGAGAAACCUCUUCUCUCGAUUUCCACCCUCAUGCAGGCAGCUCGCAACAAUGUUCUUCUUGCUGUUCCUGCUCUUCUUUAUGCCAUCAACAACUACUUAAAAUUUGUUAUGCAGUUGUACUUCAAUCCAGCAACUGUGAAAAUGCUGAGCAACCUAAAGGUUUUGGUUAUUGCUGUCCUUUUGAAGAUUAUAAUGAAAAGGCGCUUCUCCAUCAUUCAGUGGGAGGCCCUUGCUUUAUUGCUUAUCGGAAUCAGUGUCAAUCAGCUUAAGUCGCUGCCCGAAGGUACCACUGCACUCGGUCUUCCUGUGGCAGCGGGUGCCUACCUAUAUACACUAAUUUUUGUAACAGUUCCCUCAAUGGCUUCAGUUUUUAUUGAGUAUGCUCUGAAAAGCCAAUUUGAGACAAGCAUAUAUCUUCAGAACUUAUUUUUGUAUGGCUAUGGUGCUAUAUUCAAUUUUCUUGCCAUUGUUGGAACUGCUGUCUUCAAAGGGCCUGGUAGCUUUGACAUCCUUGAAGGCCACUCAAAGGCUACAAUGUUUCUUAUAUGCAACAAUGCAGCACAAGGCAUUCUCUCCUCAUUUUUCUUCAAGUAUGCAGACACAAUACUGAAGAAGUAUUCAUCGACAGUUGCUACAAUCUUUACUGGCAUAGCAUCUGCUGCAUUGUUUGGUCAUACUCUAACCAUAAAUUUUGUCUUGGGGAUAUCAAUAGUAUUUAUAUCAAUGCACCAGUUCUUUUCGCCACUUGCUAAAGUCAAAGAAGACACGCCAGAUAGUAAAGUUGAGAUGAUGGGUGCCCAGGAUCUCAGGUCAAAAGAAGCAUCCUUCAUUAAUAUGACAGCUGGUGCUGGUGAAGAUGCUAGCCAUCGUGUGGUACCAGAUGAAAGAAAGCCACUUCUUCCCACCUAAUUUUACUACCAUGGGAGAGCUGCUACAAGAACUAAGCUGAUCAUUUACUAGUAGAGUGUUAAUUUGGAGAAUUAUUUUUUCCACCGCCCAUGAAGUAAGCUUAUUAUAAGUCUUAACUCUUGAAUAUGUAGAUCACAUUGGUCUUAAUAGAACUUCCUCCGCACUUGCUCUUUCUCAUUUUCAGUAUAUCUUGUCUAUAUUUUAUGACAGUAUUCGUAAAGUUCAAUCAUAAUAAUCGAGCUCUGAGUUGUUUGAAUAGUUCUCUUUUUGAAAUCUUCCCAGUUGAUGCUGUUCUCUUUUUGAAAUCUUCCGAGUUGAUGCUGUGAAACCUGCUGUCUUAAUUAAAAGGUUAAUGAAUAUCACCAUCCAAGAUCAACCAAAAAGAAAGUGGAAUUUUGAAAAGAGAUCAUUUGCGGACAUGAUUCAUCGAUAAUGAUGUGGUUCUAAUUAUUAUAGAAAAAAUAGAAGAGAAAUAUAUACAUAGGCAACUUUCUUCCAUAGAUUCAAGGCAUGUAAUCUGUAGCUAUUGACAGUAACGAGAAGGAUGAGAGCUGCUUCUAGAUGGAGCAGCGUGGGAGACAAAAGCUUUACUGAAGUUUGUGAGGGUAUUCAUUCGUGGCGUAUUUUGAUUGUUAUAGCUUUAUUUCUUUUGAGAGCUGAAUCUAUCCUAAAAUUCUGUGACAGAACCUUUUUUUCUGUUCUUUUUCUGGACUUUUUUUUUUUUUUUGGCUCCGUGCUAUGUAAAGAUUGGAUAAGUACAAUUUAUUCAUUCAAAGGAGAUGCAGAAUCCUGAAGUUUACUUGCACUGCAUUU